rnacentral:lncRNA from 1 species
CCCAGCCAAGAUUUGAAGACAAAAACAAAUUACAACAAAUAAGCUUCCCUCUGAUCACUUCCCUAACACGCAUAGGAAAUACCUCUGCCACUUCAGGGUGGCCACAGUGCUUGGCAGUGUGAGGUAUCUCUGCUCUCUCUGCUUGCACUGCAGGUAAGACAUGUCCAAAAGUCACAAAAUCUCCAAAUCCCCAUGUGGCUGGUGGUGUCGGGCAGCUGCGGGUCCCUGUGGUGCCAGCCCUGCUCCAGCAGGGCCACCCCGAGCAGGGGGCCCAGCCCCACGUCCAGGCGGCUGCUGGAGAUCCCCAAGGAGGAGCCCCCAGCCCCUCUCUGGGCAGCUUGUUCCAAUGCUCAUUCACCCACACAUUAAAGAAAUAUUUCCUGAAUAUUUUCCUCGGAAGGCCACUUCUCUCUGACUUGGACCAUGGCAUGAAAGUGUGCCCAAGGGCUUUGAAUUGGUGGAUUUGGACCUUUGCUGUGAGCUGUUCUGCAGUCUCACCACGCAAACUUGGGGUCUUUGUUGAGCUGCUUGCUGCCAUGGACCAGACUGGAAAGGAGCAUCAACCAAAGGACACAUCUAUCAGCAGCAGCCUGCAUGGGAAGACUGGAAGGGCGUGCAGUACUUCUGAGAGUUGUCCUGCUGACGAGGACAGGAUGGGUGAGGGCCAGGUUUUCUGACAUCAGUGUUAGUACAUCGAAUCUCCAAGGAAAUCUGAAACUCUGCAAGAACCUGGAGCUAUUUUUCAUCAGCUGCAGUACAGCGAAGGCAACCCAGCGUGAUGCUUGGCGGUAUUGUACUGUUGGAAACACCAGUUUCGCCUUAGGAUGUAAAAAUCAGAGUGUAGACCACAUCUGAUCAUUAAGCAUGGUAUGGAAUAUAGGAAGUCUUGGCGUGCCAUAAGGGAACAAGUCCAUCUCAUUGUGGGGAUCCAUCCCAUCUAACUUCAGGAAUGAGAUUAACCUCAAAUAACUGUGUUUUUGGUGUAGAUAUUUAUCCCUCAUUUGAGCAUUCAGGCUUUCAUGAGAGUAAAUGGAGAUCUAGUUAGUACAGAGAACAAAGAAUAACAAUGAAUGAAGUACAUUAAGUAGACAAUAAAUAAUACAUACAAAAUCUGUAUCUCGUUGGC